UUUCUCCUUUAAGUUUUAACGGUUGCAGGUUGCUCCUAUUCUUAGCCUCGGUUCCUCAACUCUUGCACCAGCUAUCUCUCCCUUCCUUGCGUUUGUUGGUUUGUUCGUUUAUGUUUAGCAGCUGAUGGAGUUAAUCAGCUUCCUCUCCUCACCUCCAGUUCCACUCCCUCGGUUGGUUUUAGAAAGAAAGAAAGAAAGAAAGAAAGGAAGGAAGAAAGCUGCCUUGUUUUUUCUUCCUCUCGGUCACCGCCCAAGCUAGCAGAUUAGUUUCUAUUUGUUUCCUCUCAGUCACCGUCUGGACUUAGCAGAUGAUUUCUCUUUGUUUUCUCUCUUUCGGUCACUGCCUACUCAGCAAAUUGGUAGUAUAUUCCUUCCUGGCAGCUGUCUUAAUAGGAGUUACUCACCGCCCAAACUAUCAGCCAAUUUCUACUCAUUUUCCCUUCCACCGCUUAAACUUAGCAGAUGGUUAUCUAGCUUCCGUUCGGUUCCUGUUUUGUCAAAAUUCUAGUAGUUUGUUCCUUAGUUGCAUCGUAGUUUAACCGAAUCUCCAAGAUUGGUCCGGUCCUUUAGUUUUGGUUCAUUUGUUUGCUACGAGUCCAUAAUUUUAUUGUCUCAUACAUUGAUUCCAAAUUUCGUUUAUUCUAAUUUGUAUGUACCUUGGAAAAUUUUCCUACAUUGGUCUAGUAGAAUUUCACACAUUUGGCUUUAAGGAAAAUUAAUUAGUCAUGUAACUUAUUCAACUAUAUAAUAAAUUCUAAUGACACAAAUUGGCAAUAAGUCUAUCAUAUAUUUGUUUGGUUCCUAAAAUUUUUCUACACCAUUCUAUUAUUUGUUUAUUAUGAUAUAUAUAUAUUUUAUCCUUACCAUUAUUAUUAUUAUUAUUAUUUUCUAAAUUUCAAUUUAAUAGGAAUUCAAUUAUGCAUUUAAUUUAACCAUUUAUUUGUUUUAUAUAAUAUUUCUAAUGAUAAGUUAAAUAUAAUGAAAUAAAUUCGAAGUAUGCACAUAAAUUUCCGAGUUCUCACAUCCUUCUCCCCUUAAGAAAAUUUCUUCCUCGAAAUUUCGUACCUUUAAUCGUAAAAAGUUCCAGGUAUUCUUUCCACAUUUUGUUCUCCAGUUCUCAUGUCAUUUCUUCCAUUCCAUGAUGCUCCCAUAGGACUUUGAUUAAAGGAAUUUAUUUAUUCUUCAAUCCCUGUUUUUGAAAUAACAUGCCCCAGAAACAAUAUUUUCUCCAUUCGAAAUUCACACUUACAAUUGACGCUUCCUUAAAGUCGAUAACACUAUCUUUAGAUUCUAUUCAUGAUCUUCCUUCUUAAUUCUCCAUUGAUAGUAUCGUUGUCAAAAAUCUAUCUUAGAAAACACCAUUGGCCCUUGCAACAAUUAUAACAUCGUUAUAAGCUCAACUUUCAAUCUCUCCUCUUUUUUUUUUUUCUCCAAUCUUAAUCUCAUAGUUUCUAUACACCACUUUGGUUACCAAAUUUCACUCAGGUUAGUAAUUAUUUAAUCCCAAGGACUAAUAAAUAUUACAGCAUUAUAACAAAAUAAACAUAUGAUCAUCAAAUUACAUACACACAAUCUAAGUUACAUUACACACCAACUUCAUACAACUUUAAAAGCCAAACAAUUCACGGAUACAUUCAACAUUUUCAUACAUAACUCAAACUUCAAUCCUUAUAAACAUGAAAGAAAACAAUUCAAUAAUACAUAAAUUAUUAUAACCACACAGCUAAUAGCUCAACCCUUAGUUUAGACUCAACUUAAACUUCAUUAAUCUAAUUUUGGACAGUCCCACUAGACCCAAUUUCUUCUUCUGGUUCUACUUCCAUAGGUUCCUCUUCCUCGGGAUCUUUCUCUGCCGGUUCGGCUUCACCUUCGACUCUAGGAGCCUCUACACCCUAACUUUCCCUAUUUAGAUUCUCCCCCCACAAGCUCUUCCAUCAACACUUCACAUUCAGCUAGAAUCCCUUUAGUUCGGUCUCUUACCUAUCUUAGUACCCUAGUGAGACGGUCUUUAGUCUCCUGCAACUGAUCAUACAAGACAUUAGUUCACUCUUGCUCCUCUAUCAUAUCAGUUUCCUACUUUAGGAUCCUAUCACGUCACAUCCUUAUGAAUUUCCUCAUUUCUUACAUUCUAAUAUGAGCUCUCUCAUUUGCUAUUACUAAUCUCUGUCUUUUACCCAUUUGAACUAGUAUCACUCGAUCCAGAUAGAAGUAAGUUCUUGAACAGUCACAGUGACUAGUCAUUCAAUGCCCUAGAACACACUGCCGAAAGGAUACACCUGGUCCUUACUUAAAAACUAUUUCACUCAAAUUUCAGGUCAGAAAACCAUAUUUUUAGGCAAGAGUUGGCAUAUGAUCUAUUUACUAUCGCAGGCUAAUAAAAUUAUUCACCUUAAGAUGGAGGAUUUGCACUAAUAUUCAAGAUCUCACCACAACCUCUUCACCCUUAGCUCUCAAAAGCUAGCCUUGGUCUCGUUAAUUCUAUUUCUUCAAUUUAAAUCGUGAUUUCUGAUCACGUCAUAAUGCAAUAUACUAAAUUCUUCCUAAUUUGUAAAUACACCAUUGAAUGAAAUAUCUGGUACUUGGGUACAAGAAUCUGAAAAUAGGAUAAUUCAUAGCCUAGGUUGGCCAGUCCCAAGAGUAAAUUACCCAUAUUUGAGAUUCCUACCUGAUGUACUUAUCUAAUCCCCUUAGCAAUAGUAAUUAAUUCAACACUUAAAAGGUCAAUCCCCACAGUUCGAGAACCCUCUCCCGGCUUGACCUCAUUAAGAGCUUUGAUACCACCUGUGACGACCCGCCCUCCUCCUAGGACGUACCCUAGAAGUUAGCGGACCGCCUGCCUGGCUCUCGUCAGGACUCAUUUAUUUACAUUAACUUCAAAGAUAACAUUUCUCAUUAAUCAUCCAAACAUCCAUUCUUAAUACUUCUUAGUAAGACAAAAGCUUUGUCCACUACAAAUUACAAAAGUAAAUCAUCCAAACGUUCAUUCUUAAGUAUAUCACCCAAGUACAUCACCAACUAGUGUAAAAUAUAAAUCUACCCAUUAAGAGAUGCAAAAUGCAGGUCUUAUCAUCAAUAUAACACUCUAACUCUAUUUGAUCGUCCUUCAAACUUCAACUCCUGUAAGGAAAACAAAGCUAAAAGGUUGAACUAAUGCUCAGUGAGGUUUCCAUGCAAGCAACAAUCAAUAAACAUUUAAACCAGAUAAGCCAGUAACAAAAUUAAGCAAUUAAAGAACACUUCACUGAAUCAAGUAGAGAACACUUCACUGAACAUUCACUUUUAAAAAGGAUACAGUGCUCGCAUUAGAACCACUUCAAUGCACUACACACUCCACCGAACUCCUCCUUAUAACCUCCAAAACAAUAAACACUUCCCUCACUUAGAUGGCCAUAUCAACAUCAGUAAUCUGCUACUCCUUGGUAAUACUCGAGCAUACCAAUACACUUACCCAAAGCUACCGUCCUAUCCGACAAGCCCUUUUGCUGGCUCGAGUAGUCCGUUGAACAAAGGGUUUUGGGGCUCAGUUCAGCCGGUGUGGUAAAGUACACACAUGGCUUACAGUCAUGCACAUUUACAAUAACACUUGAUCAAUUAUCAACCUUCAAGUUCAAACUAAGUCGAGUGCGAUAAUGUACACUCCCGACUUAGAAGGCAAGGGACAAUUGAGAUAUACUUUACAAUGAAUCACUAGCAAUAUUCCAUAAUAAGCACAUUUAUCACAUAAUUUCACUUAAGUAAACAUAAACAGUUAAACACACAAAUCCGGAAACACUCACCAAGUUUCCAAAUAAAUUACUCUUGAGCCUCGAGUUUGUUUCCUGAGUCACAGCUAUUCCCUGAGAUAAGUGUAUAAGUCCAAAGUAAAUAUACAAUUUGUAGAUAUUCAUUUAUUAUUUAUUACCCUAUUAUCGGAACUAUUAAAAUCAAGUUUGACUUUAAAAUACAAAAUAUAAUAUAUUCAAUAUUUAUUCUACAUUUUAUUUCGAACUUUAUUGACUUUAUCAUUUUAACAAAGAAAUAUACACAUUUUCUAAGGUUAUGAUUUAUAAAUAUUUAAAUUAGGAUUAAAUCAUUUCUCACUCUAUAUCUUAAAGUUAAAAUAAAUAAACUUUUCAUCCUUCUCUUCUUCUUUUUUUCCAAAUCAAAUUCUAAGUUGUCUAUGAUUUAAGUUUUGUAUAAACUUAUUAGUUUUCUUGUUUAAGUUUCUUAAAUGUUCAUAAGCGGAGUUUCACAACGAAUUAGCUUAAAAUUUCAAGAUUCCAUAAAAGUUUCAUUUCUCCCUUCAUCCGGUCAGCAUAAACAAUAUUUUAGCUCAAAUGUUCCUUAACCUACAACAACUCCACUUUUUAAUUGCUUAAACUUUAGUCACCUAGUAUACAUUUCAUUCAAGGUGAAUAACUCAUAAUUUCAGCAUGUCGGUCGCCCACAUCAUAUACAAAAUUUGUCAUCUUCAAUCGCAACCAUUAACUAGGCUUUCUAGCAAUGUAUCGGUCCAAUAUUCGGUACAUUUCCCUCAAAUCUUUCCUUUCACUCUCAUGUCCCAACUAGACAAGUUAAUUACAUUUAUUAAGCUACAAAGUAGCAUUGUACAGAACGUGGAAAGUUUUGCAGCUUACUUAGAGGAAAAAACUGAUCAACUCUUCCUUCUUUCUCUCGGCCAUAAGGUAAUUCAGCAGCACAUUUCAUAGUUUUCCUCUCAUUUGCCUUAGUUUAACUCUACUCACGAAACUAGUCAUAGUCACUAAAUCACAGAGCAACCUUAGUUCUACCUGUGGAAGUUCACAGAGCCAGAAAUUAAAAGAAUGGCUGCUCUACAAGCUGAUUUCCUUCCCUUUUUUUUCUAUCCUAACAGAUUGUACCAACUUCCUUUUGUCAAAUUUUAGUUAAGCUUCCUGAAGUUUUCUGAUUUCCAAGGCACCUAUCUGUUAAGGUAAAGAAUUAACAUAUCUCAUGCGGUUGUUAGUAAGUGUUUCCAAUAUAUUAACAACAAGUUGCAUAUUCUGUUUCAUUUCCUCGGCCAACCUAUCUGUAGUAAAUUGAACUCAUUCUUCCUUCAAUGUUCACUUCAGUUUAUACUUGUUUCUGUCAUGCUCGAAGAAGUCAAGAUGCUUUACAAUACAUUACAGCUUAAUACGAAAUUUAAAACCAAACUUUGCAGAAGACCGCUAGAGUUUCUUCACUUCUUUUCUCUCGGAUGAGGCUAUAAGGAUUUCAGCAGGUUUCUUUCUUUCUUUUCCACUCAAAGUUUCAACUUUCACAAGUUUCUAUAGCUAAAAUUCACUUAAUGGCUUCCAUUUUUCCAUUGAUAACAAGCUGCAAUUCAUUUAGCCAUCUCUCAGUUCCCACAGAUUCAGUCCAGCUUCAAUUUUAUUCCUUCAUCAGAUUUUUCCUCAGUUAAAACUUAUUUUUCCUUGCUAAAAACUAACAUGCAGCCCAUAUAUUCAGUGAUACUCUGUAAAUAAAAGAAGGUUACAAAGAGUUUUACCUUUCUCCUUUAAGUUUUAACGGUUGCAGGUUGCUCCUAUUCUUAGCCUCGGUUCCUCAACUCUUGCACCAGCUAUCUCUCCCUUCCUUGCGUUUGUUGGUUUGUUCGUUUAUGUUUAGCAGCUGAUGGAGUUAAUCAGCUUCCUCUCCUCACCUCCAGUUCCACUCCCUCGGUUGGUUUUAGAAAGAAAGAAAGAAAGAAAGAAAGGAAGGAAGAAAGCUGCCUUGUUUUUUCUUCCUCUCGGUCACCGCCCAAGCUAGCAGAUUAGUUUCUAUUUGUUUCCUCUCAGUCACCGUCUGGACUUAGCAGAUGAUUUCUCUUUGUUUUCUCUCUUUCGGUCACUGCCUACUCAGCAAAUUGGUAGUAUAUUCCUUCCUGGCAGC
rnacentral:lncRNA from 1 species